AUGCUCACUCCAGCAACACAUAUACUAAAAUUGGAACAACACAGAGAUUCGCGUGGCCACUGCACAAGGACGCCACAAAUCCACGAAAAAAAAUUAUGAUGGAA